rnacentral:lncRNA from 1 species
GUUGAAAUGGGUUCUAAAACUAUCGUCUCUCUUGUUUUACAAGUUAUUAUCGUAAGCAUCACUCUUACCGAUGCUCAAUUCUGUUAUACCACAGGAAACUUUACAGCUAAUAGCACCUACGCAAAAAACCGAGACCUUGGUCUCCGUUCACUAGCUUCCAAUGUCACAAACAAUGGGGGUUUCUACAAUACUACAAUACUACAAUAGGUUUAGGCAAUGACACAGUUUAUGGUCUUGUGCUCUGUAUGGCUUCCCCAUCAGCUGAAAAUUGUUCCAGCUGCGUCAAUUCUGCUAUUCAAACUCUCAUGACAGCAUGUCCUAACCAAAAAGAAGCAAUUUCAUGGGGGGAGAUUGUUCCAUGUAUUGUACGCUAUGCGAAUCGUUAUUUUUUAGGAUCCCUAGCUUGAGCCAUCUCCUAAUAGCAUUCUAACAACCAUUUUUCUACCAGGCGAAUCCACAUAAUGUUUUGGAUGUAACUCUAUUUAAUCAGGCACUCCAAACAUUAUUUGCCAGACUUCGAGCCAAAGCUGCAUCAGGGAACUCCGUAAAGAAGUUCGCUACUGGAAACCAAAGUGCCGGAGAUGAAACAAUAUAUGCUAUUGUUCAAUGCACGCCUGACUUGUCUGAGGGGCAGUGCUCCAGUUGCACGCCUGACCUUUUUCGGAUGAUUACAACCUGUUGUGAUGGGAACGUAAAAGGGAAGAUUACCAUCACCUCCACCACCACAAAUAUCAUCACCUACAUCUCUUCCCGCACCAGCACAAGGUAGGCCUUGGAUUGUUAUUAACUCCCUCCUGCACUUUGAUUUUGAUGUUUUGAUUUAGUAAUUUUUAUAGUUUAAUGAUCCUUAAAUCAUUCAAUUUUAAUUAGGUAUGGCAAAAAAAGAAAAAAGAAAAGUAGGAGUGCUUGUACCAUGUUUAAUUAAAUAAUAUUAACAGUAGAGUAAAUAACAAUAACCUUCUUGAGAUAUUAUAAAAUUAUAGAGAUCAUCAAGAAAAAAGUCUUUUUCAUAUAUAAAAACAUAUUACAGAAGCUUUAUCCAAAAUGCAUUUGAAAAGAUAUUUAAAUUGAAAAAUUAAACAAAUUAGAGAAAGAAUAUAAAAAAUGGGACUUGGUUAUUUUAUUAGUACAUCAGCAAUAUUAAUUUCAGCCAUUUCUUAUUUCUUAUUUUUAUAUUUUUAUCUACUUUUGGAAUUUUUUUUAUUUAACUAUUUUUUUAAAGCAGCAAUUAAAGAUAUUUUGGAUAUAGUCCAGGUGUUUUGUCAAAUAUUCAAAAAUUUUAAUGUUUUCUAUAAUUUUAUAAUAGGAGUUAUUGUAAUUUAAUUAGCCUUAAAAAUCUGUUUAUUAUUUUUUAUGGUUUAGAAUAUAUUCUUUUAAAAGAAAUAAAAAUUAGCUGAUUGUUAAGCUUUUGCGAGUCAUGGGGACAACUUUGCUUCGGGUCAUAAGGCCUCAAUCAUUGGGACUGUCCACAUUCUGAACUCACAAGUCUGGACUCAAGUUCUUAAAAAUUGUAGGGCCACUUUGGUUUAUGCAGGAACGAAGAGCAACACAGCUCGGAUCAUUGUCAUUACUGUUGUCCCAGCUGUCGGUGCUGUGAUACUCGUCAUCUGCAUCUGCCUAUUCAUAAGAACACGAAAGCAAAGGGAAAAGGAAAGGAUUGAAAGUAAGUAGUAAUUUGGUUGCCUGAAGAUAGUAUUUGGUUGUUGAAUUGUAUUGAAAUAGACGAUGAGAGGGGCUCUUAUUUUUUUAUUUUAAAAAUAAAUACAUUUUUUAAUUUUUUUUUUUAUCUAUUCUUUUUUAUCCCGUGACACUAACUAAAUACAAUUUACGUUUCUUCCUUAAUUUCCAAAGCAAUUAUGUUUCCGUGCAUGCUAACUUGUUCAACUUUUGAAGCUGUAGACGAAAUAGAAAGUGCAGAAUCAUUGCAAUUCGCAUUCGAGAUGCAACAGAGGACUUUUCGGAGAAAAAUAAGCUGGGACAAGGUGGAUUUGGUGCUGUUUACAAGGUAGUAAAGGAUAUACUGAAAAAUCGCAAUGCUCAAGAUGAUACAGGUAGUAAUGGAUUGAUAUGAUUUCAGGGAGCACUUCCUAGCGGACAAGAGAUUGCUGUGAAAAGACUUUCUAAGGACUCUGGGCAAGGAGAUUUGGAAUUCAAAAAUGAAGUCUUAUUGGUGGCAAGACUCCAGCACCGGAAUUUAGUCAGGCUUCUAGGUUUCUGCUUUCAAGGAAUUGAAAGGCUUCUUAUCUAUGAGUUUGUGCCUAACGCGAGCCUUGAUCACUUCAUAUUUGGUAAGGCUAGGAACCAGCUAAUUUACAAUUGUAUUAUAAGCAAUUGAGUCUUCUUCUAAAUAAGAAGCACAAAUUAAUGAAUAUAUCUCGUACUCUUUCCCUUGAGUAACUUGAGCCAUGCGAUUCCUUGAAAUGUAGAUCCAAACAAGCGUGUGCAUUUGAACUGGGAAAAACGUUACAAGAUUAUUGGAGGAAUUGCUCGAGGGCUCCUUUACCUUCACGAGGAUUCUCGACUUCGAAUCAUUCAUCGUGACCUCAAAGCCAGCAACAUUUUGUUAGAUGAAGAGAUGAAUCCGAAAAUUUCAGAUUUUGGCAUGGCGAGGUUGUUCGUAGUGGAUCAAACUCAAGGCAAUACAAGUAGAAUUGUGGGGACCUAGUAAGUAUCUGAACAUCAUGAACAGCAUAAUUACCAUUUAUUAAGCUCAUCCUUUGUUGCAUUGUAUCAAAGAAGAAGAAAUGAAAAGUCCCAACAAUAUAAAUGAUGUUAAACAUUGUUAAAAUUGUCGAAUCUAAUAAUAUUGAACUUUUCGUUGAUGAUAAACAGUGGCUAUAUGGCUUCAGUAGUUCUCAUGCUAAGCAGCUCUUCCCUCACAUUGCAAAUACCUUCUCAACCUGCAUUUUUUAUGAACAGCAGCACAUAUCAAUCAGAUCUGUCAUCCUCAAUGGGGCAUAAUUCAAGGGUGACUGAGUCCUCGCUAUCUGAAUCUGAAGCUAUGAUCCCUUUGUCCAAAAAUGAGGUUUCAAUUACUGAGUUGUAUCCUAGAUAAUGGUUUAGAUGCAGAGAUUUAAUAUAAAACCAGUUUUGUGGUUUCAUUCAAUCAUUUGAAUGUUUGGAUUGGGAUAAAUAUUUGACAUCGUAUCAAUGUUUUGAUUACCUUAGCAUAUCAUUUUGAUGAAAUACUUUUAUUUUUUAAUAGUCUGUAUUAUUGUUAUAAAAAAAGAUAGCAUUUUGUUACCACUUUUAAAUAGAAAAAAUAAAGUUAUUAGAGACAAAGAGGACAUGUUUUCAUGAUUGUGCCCUUAACAAUUAAAAAUUAAGCCCCUCGCAUUGUAUAAUAUUGGAAUCAUUUAUAUAAGAGAAAAAAUAUAAUGAAACCUUUUUAUUUUUCAUGAGGUAAUAUGUAUUGAAAUUGAUAUAUAUAUAUAUAUAUAUAUAUAUAUAUGAUGAAAAAAAAUGAGAAAAGUGAUGAUAAAAAAAAAAGAAAAAAAAAGGAUGAUGAAAAAAAAAAAAUGAAAUGAAUGAAGAAUAAAUUAAAAUUUGAGUCAAGACAAUAUAAAUUGGAACUUUGAAGACUUAAUUAAACUUUGGAUUAGUUUAAUUAAUCCAAUCAAGAGCUUAAUUGAAUAAUAGGUAAGUAUGGGCACUUAAUUAAACUUGAAUUUAGUUUAAUUAAUGAAACUAGGAGGUUAAUUGAAGAAAUACCAAACUUUAGGGUUGAUUCGGGUUAAAAUGGCAAGAAAUUAAAGUAAAGUACCAUUAUGUACAUAGUGAUAAACUUAAAGGUCUUAAUUAUAAUUUACCAGGGGGCUAGAUUACAAAAUUGCAGAAUGUCAGUUACCAAAUUGAAAAUGGCUAUUCCCAUCCCAAAACGGCACCGCUUCAAUGGACACUGUUCAUCUUCUUAAGCGGAACAAACUGGAAGAGGAAAAGCCGCUCCGCGCCUCACGAUGCGUCUCCAUCAUCAAUGUAACUGUCUUGUGAGUCCAUUUCAUUUGCCUUACCAACGCAUGGCAUUCUAUGGCUUUAUAUAAGCCAGAGAAAAGCCACAAGCGGUGGGUGAUAGAACCGAGGGGACAGAAGAGAAAACACUGGGGGAAGACGCAAACAGAGGAAAUUUCAAGAAACAGAGGGGAAGAACACAGAGAAAAAGAAAAACGAAGAUCAAGGAGGAGGAAACACACAUAGAACAAAGGAGGAUAGAAAACACAGAGAGAGAACCAAGAAACUAGGGGGGAAAAGGAACAAACACAGGUGACACAAAAAAAACAAAACAGAGCAAACACAGUAGAGAGAGAGAGAGAUCAGAGAAGAGGAAGGGACCCAUAAAGUAAAAAAAGAGGGCAGAGAGAAAGAAGACUAGAGAAAAAACAAGAGGAAAACGGAGGAGGAGAAAAUAGCAUCAGCCGACCAGCCCUCCAUGCGUUUUCCCUCCCCUUUGCAUUUUAAUUACUGUGUUCUUGUGAGCAGUUCACGCACACCUGCGAGUUAAAAAACAAUAUCCAACUGGGUCCCUGGCUUCGGCCAGCUAUGUCCAAUAUAGCCCAUACAAACUGGAUUGUAACCAACCCAAAAAUAGCUGAGGCUGGAUUUAGUUUCAGGCCUAACCAACUCAAUCUAUUUUGGGUCAACAGGUGUUUGGCAAAACACAACCUUUUGUUUUACCUCUUUGAUUUCACUUAUUUUUGAUUUGAUAUCGGGUCAAAUAAGCUCUUUUUUAUAUUAGAAAAUUCAAGAAAAAAUUGAAUAUCUUCGUUGAUCAAUUUAUGGGUCCCUUGCACUUUUUUUUGGGUUGUUUUGUUUUAGAUAUUUCACUGCAUAUUUGAUCUAUGGAUUUUUAUUGUGAAAUGCAACUCUAGUAUACGAUACAUUUUUUUUUUCUUUUUUAAAAAAUUAAAAUAAAAAAUAUGUAUGCAUUGUUUUAAAUUUAUUUUACUAGUUUAUUCACUGAUGCUAGAGGUAAGAAUACCAUAUGUUUUUUUGUUACGUAAUAUUUAUCAAUGCUAGAGUUGGAAGCAUCCGUAGUUGAAUAUUUACUAAUGUUAGAGUUAGGAAUAUUAUCAUCAAUAGCAUAAUAUAACAAAUCCUUAGUAAUUCAAUACAAAAUUAGCAAUUCAGCCUACCUCAGGUAAGAUGCUUAAAAGGUGAUAAUAUUUUUUAUUUUGUAUAACCAGAACAAUGUUAUAAAAUCUAUGCCAACUAGUUAAGGUUUCUGAUGACUAUAAUAUUAGAUAACAACUCUUUAAAUGAGAUAUUUUAACCUAAUGGAUUCAGACAGUUAAGAUAAAAAUAAGAUGCCAGAAAUUCUAUUCUUUCCCUCACAUUUAAUUUUUUAAAGGCGCUGCAAUUUCAGGUGUGAUAUAGGAUUAGUAUCAAUUCAUGACUAAUCAUGACAACACUGUUACAUCGAUAUCAAUUAGGAUGAUUUUGUUUCAAAUAUUCUAAGUUUUAUUAAGUGAGUUAUAACAAUACAAGCUUCAAUUAUUUUAUCCAUUAUUUGAGAGAGGUUUUUUUUUUUUUUUUGCUAUAAACAAAAUCAUCAUUGUAAUCUUUUGAGAGUUAGGAUAAAACUUUUGGCAUUGAUGAGAUUUUGUCACCAAGAAAAAAUCUUUAAAAGUGCAUAUCUUCAAGUGGUAGAAAAAUCUUGGAGAGAAAAUAUCUUCAAAAGAUGUAAAGGUUUUAGUGUGAAUUCAUCAAACAACUAUUGUACUCUUUGAACUUGGACUAGUGAAAGAAUAUAAUACUCAAGUACGGUUUUGGUACUCGAGGUGUUGAUAUAGACUUGUCGAACCACAUUAAAAACGAUUUUACAUUUUCUUUGCCUAUACUAGUUACUCGAAGCACUUUAAUUAUAUUGUUGGUUAAUUGUUUUUAUUUUAAUUAGUUGCAAUAUUUUGUUAUUAUUAGUGCUAUACCUAAUCUUCCCUAGGUGUAUUGUUGCCUUAUUCCUAGAACAACAUAAAAUUACUUCUUACCUUAGUCUAAGCCCUCUCCUUUUAAUUUAGUCCUUAAUUAUGUAACAACUCUUCAAUUUAGACUCUAAUACAACCCAACUAAGGCCUCAUGCAGGGCUAGUCAAGGAGAGAAUAAGGAUAAAAGAAAGAAAAAGGACAACUAACCGCCUAGGUUAACACAUCUUGAUUGUGCCCUUUACCCAGGUUGUAAUUUUUGCUUUUAACCCAUGUUGGUUGGUCGAGGGAUAAUUUGCUUGGUCUUCGUCUAAAAAGAAAACAAUAAAUUAUAUCAUGUUGAUUUUUUUUUAAAUUAAGCCUAACUAUGCUUUUAUCUAUUAUUUGGGAUAUUUUUAGAUCUGAUAAAAUAUUUUGGUCAUGUUGAGUUAACUUACACGUAGUCAAUUUGAUACUUGACUUAUAUAAAUACUAGGUAUUUAUAUAACAAUGGAAAAGUCGAUAUGAUAUUGCUGUCUUCAUCAUAACGUACACAUGGAACAAGUUAAAACUAAUUUUCUAAUGUUAACUACGACCAUGCGCGUGGGUAUUUAUGCUAGUGAUUCCGAUAUUCGCUAAUUAAUGACAUUGUUUUGCUAUUCCAACAUCAAAGCUUUGAAAUCCAUAAAUAUAAAUAGAAAUACUGAAAAAAUAUUUUUGUUGAUAAUUUUAUCAGUAAAUUUAUUGGUAAUAAAAAAUAUUAUUAUUGGCGCGUCUGUUCUGUCUAUAAAUUUAUUGAUAAUAAUAUUUUUUUAUUACCAAUGAAUUUACUAAUGGAAAAAAAAUUACUAAGAAAAAAUUUACCAACAGAUUAUUUUUAUUGAUGAUUCUGUUGAUAAAUUAAUUACCAAUAAAAUAUGUGUCUCACAUUAAUAAAAAAAAUUCCGUAAAUAAAACUGAUAAAUCUUGUAGGCAAUGCUAGCGUGGGACAUCUGGUAGGUCCAAUCCGGUAUAAGUCUUCAAACCAAACAAGAAGUUAGCAUGGGACGAAAAAAAGUUGCAUGUGACUGAGUCCAAUUUUGAAGGCGACAAAUAAUAUCUUGAUCUUUGUAUUGACUUUUUUUUUGUAUUUGACUGAGUCUUUGAAUAAUUUUAUACAGUCUAAAGGCAAUUAAGCAGUCAGGAAUUGGGACCACAAGUAAAGUCGCCAUUUCACACUGUGAUACCGAUCAUUUCCCACCCACUACCUUUGCCACAAAACUAAAAUUCAUUGAUAUAUAAAUAGAUUUUUUUAAAUAAUCUACCUAAAUACAAUAAAUAAAUAAAUAAUAAAUAAAUAAAUGGAUGAUACAUUGAUAUAUAAAUAGAUUUUUUUAAAAAAAUUCAUAUUUAUAAUGGAUGAUACAUGAAAACAGAGAAAGAAAUCACUCGAAUAAAUCAAUUAAUCACUUGGAUUUCUCUAAGAAAAUCCCACGAUUUAACCUCAAAACUUCUUGAUCGAUUCUUACGCGGAAAGUCAAGAUAUAAAGUACUUUCCAAUAGAUCGCACCAUCGAAAUUGCUACCUCUUUUUUUGUCCUAAAUUCGUUAACAAAUUGGCCAAUAGUCUCUUGGUAUAUAAAAUACCAUCUAUGCAAGGGAUUUCUUUCACGAAGAAAGAAAUUGUGAACAGAAGUUAAUAUUUCCUCUGUUGAAAUGGGUUCUAAAACUAUCUUCUCUCUUCUUUUCCAUGUUAUUAUCAUAAGCAUCACUCUUACCGAUGCUCAAUUCUGUUAUACCACCGGAAACUUUACAGCUAAUAGCACCUAUGCAAAAAACCGAGACCUUGUUCUCCGUUCACUAGCUAUCAAUGUCACAGCCAAUGGGGGUUUCUAUAAUACUACAAUAGGUUUCGGCAAUGACACAGUUUAUGGUCUCGUGUUCUGUAUGGCUUCCGCAU